UUUUUUUUUCCGAUCGGGCACCUUGCUGGGCAGCUAAGAGGUUCAAUGACAUGUUGACUAUUAAGCAGCAGUUGAGCAUCAAUCUCCAUCAAAGUCAUCCUAUCUUUGUCUUAAAAGUGAUAAAGUGAAUGGGGACAUCUCCACACCCUUGUUUUCUCAGCCGAUCUCUGAUCUCCUCCCAAAACUCUCACAUUCCACAAACAGAUGAUUGACAUCCUCUACAGCUCCACAGAUGUAUCGACCUCCAUGUCAACCUCAAAAGGGACAAGCGCAGCUGCAAGGUGAAGACUGGAAGAACACUGCCACUCAGUGGUGGAUCAUCUCUGCCUCCUUCUGCUCCACACAUCCCUGAGUCUUCACGCUGAGGGGCCAAACAAGGUCACGUGUUCCCGUGUGUGUGUGACUUGGACUUGGGCGUGGAUUGCUUUCCCGAGGUGCAAAGCGAAUGGAGUGGAAACGGCGUGAAGCAGUGUUUUCCUUCCGUUCAUCUGGAUUUCGACUGCCUCCCUCGUUCCUCGACUCCUCGUUCGCCCCUGGACUCUGACGCCUCUCUUUCGCCCCUGACCCUGCCUGCCCAUAGACUUCGUCGUUCCUUCGCUCUCGUCAACUGGUAACACACACUUCAGCUAAUCUACACACAUAGUCACACGCAUACACUCUUGAUAUUUGUCA